UUCACAUUUGGCUAUGCAACUUGUCCUGCACAAAGACAUCCAGCCAUGCACCAGUGGGAGCUGGAAAACAGCUUUCCUAUGUCAUGUGCCCUGCUGAAGGAAGAUCUGCCCUUUUCUUCCCCCAAAAGCUCUGUUCCCUAGUCAAGUCACGAACCUGAGAGGCUAUUACUAUUGAGAGGGUUUUCCUCUUUCAAAUUCAUUUGCCCAGUGGUAGACACUGUUUUCCAAUGGCACAAAGGUGCCCAGUAGCCUGCUAGGAGCCCUGGGUACUUAACUUCAAGUACUGCUAGAUGGCACACCAGAAUUAUUGCUCUACGCUAUCCUCCAGUGCACAGUGUGAGGGUUUCUGGCCCUACUCUCAUCCUUACCAGCACAUUGUAGUUUGUUUAUUCAUAAACACUCACAUAGUGUUUACCAAGUGUCAAAUACUAUUCUAAGUGCCUUACAAAUACUGACUCAUCUAAUUAGCCAAUUUUCUAAAUUCUGUCAAUUAUCAUGGAAGUAGUGUCAACAUAUUUUUGCUUUAUUCUGCGUUUCUCUGACUCCUAGUGAAAUUGAACAUUUCUUCAUACAUCUGUAAGCCACUUGGGAUUCCCUUCUGUGAAUUGUCUAUUUAUAGCCUUUACCUAUAUUUCAGUUGCUCUUUUUCUUUUUCAUUUGAUUUGCAAGAGGUUUUUGUACAUUAAUCUGGACAUUAAUCUGCUUUCAAAGACUGAAACCUUUGCUUGCCAUGUCCUUUGUAAAACAAUAAUCCUUCAUUUUGUAGCCCUUCAUUGUGUGUGUGUGUGUGUGUGUGUGUGUGUGUGUGUGUGUUUUACUUUUUACAUGCUUUUCCAGUAUGAUUUAAGAAGUCCUUCUCAACCCCAAGGUCAUAAAGGUAUUGUCUAUCAUCUUCUUACAUUAGCGUCAUAGUUUUACUUGUUAGCAUUCAGUUCUUGAGCCCAUCUUACUUUUGCGUAUGGUGUGAGGUAAGGAUCCGAUUUUUUUUUCUCAGAGGAGUGAGCCCAUUUUCAACAUCUUGGUUCCCAAAUAUAGACAGUUCUGCACUGAGCUCUGUGGUUUGCUCCUGUGCUAGUACCACAAGGUUUUAUCAUGAUGGUUUUAUAGCCAGACAUCAUGAUUGAGGGCAAGUCCCCCACUCCUACUUCUUCUGUCAAAACGUCACUGGCUAAUCAUGAACCUCCAUCAACCCAUAUAAUUUUCAGGAUGUUUUCAAGUUCCUCAUGAGAAAUCUUAACUGGGACAUUAAUGAAUUUAUGAUUUAACUUGGGGAAAAUUCACAUUUGUAUAAUUGUAUCUCAUUCAUGAACAGAGACUGUAUAUCUGGUAGACAAAAAAGGACAUAAUAUGGCAGAGGCAUAAUGCACUAUGGAGGCAAUGGGAGAAGUGGCAGCUGAAGCUGGAGGAUCAGGCUGAACCAAACUGCAAGCCAAGCUAAUGGAAAUGAGAACACAGGGUAGGCAACAGGGCUCAGGCUACUUUGUGUGUUUACAGGAGAUCCAAUCACACGCUGGGACUAACAGGUGGUGAUACCAUCGUGAUCCAGAGAGACUCCAUAACAUUCCUGAAGAUUCCUGAAGACCCUGUUCCCCUUUGUUGUUGUAAUAAAAAGGAACACUAGGUGGCAUCACACUACCAAAAGUUCUCACCUUUUAAAGCCUCCAGGAGACGCUCAUCCACCAAGAUUGGGUCAGCCCCUAAUUUAGACAAAUUUCACUUCCUCGGGGAGAGAUUUCCUGACCAUCCUUCAACACCAGAUUACCUUUGCAAGUACCAUGUAUUCGACUUCUUGGACCCUCUCACAAUGGUAGUUAAUCAUGUGUUCAUGGAAAUGGUUGCUUAAGAUCUGUCUUCUCUACAAGCUAUCAAACAAGAAGGCAAGUAGCACCCAGUGAAGAUACAUCGCAGAACUCCAGAAAAGCAGAAAGAAACACUGAGAUGUGGCUCUGCAUGGAAAGUCCCUGCCUACGAUGCAAAGUGACUGUGCCCUAAAGGAAACCUGCUCCUGCAAGGGAUCAGAGAGGUCCUGGAGCCAAUUUGGAGGGAGUCCACACAGCCCACAAUUCCUUUCUCUGAGACUAGUAACUCCCCCCAGGAACCUGCUGCAGACCAAACUUAACAGAACAUUUGUUGAGCAUUUGACAUCGGUUCCCGAAGGAUCUCCAUACAAACUCCACUCUUGAUACUGGAGGAGGCUACAAAGCUGGGGC